ACUCCUACGGGAGGCAGCAGCAGGGAAUCUUGCGCAAUGGGCGAAAGCCUGACGCAGCAACGCCGCGUGGGGGAUGAAGGCCUUCGGGUUGUAAACCCCUUUCAGGAGGGAAGAAAUUGACGGUACCUCCAAAAGAAGCCCCGGCCAACUACGUGCCAGCAGCCGCGGUAAU
rnacentral:rRNA from 1 species